AGCAGCCGCGGUAAUUCCAGCUCCAAUAGCGUAUAUUAAAGUUGUUGCAGUUAAAAAGCUCGUAGUUGAAUUUCGGGAUCAAUAUGUUGGUCGUGCCUUUGGUACGUACUGGUAUUAUUGGUUUCUCCUUUCUGAUGAAUCAUGAUGUCAUUAAUUUGGUGUCAUGGGGAAUCAGGACUGUUACUUUGAAAAAAUUAGAGUGUUUAAAGCAGGCUUACGCUUGAAUACAUUAGCAUGGAAUAAUGAAAUAGGACGUUUAAUUCUAUUUUGUUGGUUUCUAGGAUUGACGUAAUGAUUAAUAGGGAUAGUUGGGGGCAUUAGUAUUCAAUUGUCAGAGGUGAAAUUCUUGGAUUUAUUGAAGACUAACUACUGCGAAAGCAUUUGCCAAGGAUGUUUUCAUUAAUCAAGAACGAAAGUUAGGGGAUCGAAGACGAUCAGAUACCGUCGUAGUCUUAACCAUAAACUAUGCCGACUAGGGAUCGGAUGAUGUUAAUUUAUGACUCGUUCGGCGCCUUAAC
rnacentral:rRNA from 1 species